UACAGAGGGUGCGAGCGUUAAUCGGAAUUACUGGGCGUAAAGCGUGCGUAGACGGUUAUCUAAGUCGGAUGUGAAAGCCCCGGGCUCAACCUGGGAAUUGCAUUCGAGACUGAAUAGCUAGGGUGCGGUAGAGGGAAGCGGAAUUUCCGGUGUAGCGGUGAAAUGCGUAGAUAUCGGAAGGAACAUCAGUGGCGAAGGCGGUUGCCUGGAGCUUGCUGACGCUGAUGCGCGAAAGCGUGGGGAGCGAUCCGG
rnacentral:rRNA from 1 species